GACGAACGCUGGCGGCGUGCCUAACACAUGCAAGUCGAACGGAAAGGCCCUGCUUUUGUGGGGUGCUCGAGUGGCGAACGGGUGAGUAACACGUGAGUAACCUGCCCUUGACUUUGGGAUAACUUCAGGAAACUGGGGCUAAUACCGGAUAGGAGCUCCUGCUGCAUGGUGGGGGUUGGAAAGUUUCGGCGGUUGGGGAUGGACUCGCGGCUUAUCAGCUUGUUGGUGGGGUAGGGGCUUACCAAGGCUUUGACGGGUAGCCGGCCUGAGAGGGUGACCGGCCACAUUGGGACUGAGAUACGGCCCAGACUGCUACGGGAGGCAGCAGUGGGGAAUAUUGCACAAUGGGCGGAAGCCUGAUGCAGCAACGCCGCGUGCGGGAUGACGGCCGUCGGGUUGUAAACCGCUUUCGCCUGUGACGAAGCGUGAGUGACGGUAAUGGGUAAAGAAGCACCGGCUAACUACGUG
rnacentral:rRNA from 1 species